rnacentral:rRNA from 1 species
GACGAACGCUGGCGGCGUGCUUAACACAUGCAAGUCGAACGGUAAGGCCCUUCGGGGUACACGAGCGGCGAACGGGUGAGUAACACGUGGGUGAUCUGCCCUGCACUUCGGGAUAAGCCUGGGAAACUGGGUCUAAUACCGGAUAGGACCACUGCCUGCAUGGGUGGUGGUGGAAAGCUUUUGCGGUGUGGGAUGGGCCCGCGGCCCAUCAGCUUGUUGGUGGGGUGAUGGCCUACCAAGGCGACGACGGGUAGCCGGCCUGAGAGGGUGACCGGCCACACUGGGACUGAGAUACGGCCCAGACUCCUACGGGAGGCAGCAGUGGGGAAUAUUGCACAAUGGGCGCAAGCCUGAUGCAGCGACGCCGCGUGAGGGAUGACGGCCUUCGGGUUGUAAACCUCUUUCAGCACCGACGAAGCGCAAGUGACGGUAGGUGCAGAAGAAGGACCGGCCAACUACGUGCCAGCAGCCGCCGUAA